rnacentral:lncRNA from 1 species
CAAAGUGCUGGGAUUACAGGCGUGAGCCACCGCGCCCGGCCUAAUAAAGGACAAUUUUUAAUAGCCACUGGACUAUUUAAGUGAUCUCUUCUGUCAGUUUCUUUUACCAUCAGAGGACACAGCAGCAAGGUGCCAUCCUAGAAGCAGAGAGCAGACCCUUACCAGACAACCAACCAGCUGGUGCCAUGAUCUUGGACUUCUCGGCCUCCAGAACUCAACACCACACCCUCCUGAUCACCAUAGCUUUAUGGUAAGACACCCCUACUCUGUCCAGACCCAACUGUCAACAGAAGCCAAAGCCAUCUGGAGGAGCAUGCAACAACAAGAAACAAAUUUAUUAGCUAACCUAACCACUAAUGACGCAAGAGACAAUUCUAAGGACUUUCAAAACAGCAAAGUAGGAGCAGCUGCUACCUCUAGGGAUGAGGGAGAAACUCAAAAAUGCAUACAAAAACCAUUGCAUGAAAAGUGACUGGAUUUGUACAUAGCGUCAGGAGAUGUGCGUAGUGUCAAAGUAUCUCAUCACACAUUACUUGAUAAUUACAAAUGAGAAAAAUGAACCUUCACAGUGGCAAGACUUGACUUCUACCUCUUUCAAAAAGAUGCAAUUGUCCAAUUAUUGGUGAAAUUGUCAUUUCAUGCUAUUGGCUAUUUGAAAUUCCUCCUCUAAUUUCAGAAUAAAUCACUGAAAUUGACAUCGGCCAGUCUGAAUUUCAAGAAAUUACCUGCUGAAGACAAGAGGGAUCUCUUCUUCAGAUUUGCAGUCUGGGGAAGACACAGCCUCUACUGUACUUUAGAACCUGAGAUAUGGUGGUGGAGGGAGCCCUGGGUCGAGUGGUAAGAUUCACCCUUAGGUUAGUAUUGACGUAAGGUGACGAGGAGCUGUAGACAAAAGAUUGUAACCAUAAGAACUUCAUAGUUUUUGUAUUUUCACCGAGCUUAUAUUUGGUGUGUUUUUUGUCUUUUCUUUAUGAUUAUCAAUAAAAUGCUUGAAAG